ACUAAUCAGUAACGUUAGAAACCCACUAUCAAAUCACAAUAUCAUCUUACUAUUCUUGACAAUUAUUAAGAGACAGAUAUCAUGUACAGUCAACGGCCAUUUAAGUAAAUCACAUAGAACCUGUCCAUGACCAGGUCAAAUUGAAGUUUAAAUUCCAAAGGAAUUUUAAGAGAAUUGGGACUUUUUUUUUUUAAAUGACAAUUAACCAUAUAUUUUUUUUUGCUCUUCUUGAGUUUGUCUCAGUGACAAUCUCAUUUGAUUUUUCUAGACAUAUUCUUUGGAGCAUUUGUUUCCAUAAAACUUUAUGAAUGUUGAAUCACAUUGCACUUGAUGACGUAUAAUCUUCCAGGCAGUCAUGGUACAAGCUGAUAGGUCAUCUGCCAGCCUAUCAGCUUGCAUCCUUUGCAAAUGAGCUAAUAGGCAUGUCAAUUGUCAGCCAAUGAGCUUGCAUCCUGUGCAAACUAGCUAAAAGGCGUUUGAUUUUUCAGCCAAUGAGCACGCAUGCACCUGAUACUGCUACUAUUUAAAUAACAAGCUUCAGGCAUUUACUGUAAAAUGGUUCACGGCAGUGUGUUUAAAAGGUUGAAUCCAUUUUUUUUCCUCUCUAUUUUAAAAGGUUUGAAUCCAUUUUUUCCCCCCUGUUUUUGUUUCAAGGAGGUAAUUUGUCAUCCCUUUUAGCUUGUGAUAUCCUGCAUUUGCUAAUGAGAUGGCUCCAAUGAUGUUUGGUUCUAAGUGUGCUUUAAAAAUAUAUUUUGUGCUUCGCAGAAGUCAUACAGAUACAGGUUUGGAUUGGCACAAGGCACUCAGUCUUACCUGUGGUAAAGCGUAAGCUUCUGAAUUGGGUACAAAGACUGUGAAAGGGCCACGACUUCCGAGUUCAGGGUCCCUUUGCAACUCUCUCCAUCGCCAAUAAAGCCAAGCCUACAAGUGCAGUUCCUCUCCAGGGGUCCUGUCAUGGUACAGUCGGCAUACUUGUGGCAUCCUCCAUUUUUCUGACAAAACAAACGUCGAUGGCUUCACAUUGCUUUCCAUUCCCUGAAAAGCCAAGUUUGCAGUAGCAUGCUGACUGGAAGAGGGGGGGGAAAGAAAUAAUCUCUGCAUCAAUUCAAAGUUAUUCUAAGGGUUAGUCUGUCAAUCAUAUCCAGGCCAUUCUACGUUCCAAAAUCAAAUGUUUAAUGUCUUGUCAUACAUAUCCUUUUUUGCCUCUUUUAUGUUAAUGCAGACUUUGUCCAGUUCUCUUCACUAAUGCAAUAAACUGAUGAAAAUGUAUUGUAUAUACAUUAUGGAAGCCAUUACUUUAAGCUGAAUGAAGUCAAACCAUUGAAUCUUCACCCAAACAUUAACUUUUUCUCAUUUACUCCUCAAACCUGGAACACAAGAUAUUUAGAAGUGUGGGAAAACAAACACUUGUGCACAUUGACUUCUAUUGUAUACAUACAAACCCCCCUGAUAUUUCAGUCAUCUUGUCUUCCACAGAUGUGAUGCUACUGUUAAUUUUCUGUCUCCUAAAGGGAUUUUUAUGUAUAACGUUUAUACAGUAUGGUAGUAUAUAUGUUGUGCUGGCUUUAAUCAAGACAUUUAAAUUGCAUGUAUGACUGUGAAUGCUCAACUAUUCAACAUUUGUGGCCUCCAAGGGGCAGGGUUUUUUUUUUGUAUUUGAGUGAAAUUGGUUGUAGACAUGGGUUUGUGAGAUUCAUUUAUACAAUUGUAUUUGAUUGUUUGUUUGCUAGCUUAAGUGGACUUGUAUC